UCGACCUGAGCUCAAGCAAGACCACCCGCCGAACUUAAGCAUAUCAAUAAGCGGAGGAAAAGA
rnacentral:rRNA from 1 species